rnacentral:rRNA from 1 species
AUUGAACGCUGGCGGCAUGCUUUACACAUGCAAGUCGAACGGUAACAGGCCGCAAGGUGCUGACGAGUGGCGAACGGGUGAGUAAUGCAUCGGAACGUGCCCAGUCGUGGGGGAUAACGCAGCGAAAGCUGCGCUAAUACCGCAUACGAUCUCUGGAUGAAAGCGGGGGACCGAAAGGCCUCGCGCGAUUGGAGCGGCCGUUGUAAGAUUAGGUAGUUGGUGGGGUAAAGGCCCACCAAGCCAACGAUCUGUAGCUGGCCUGAGAGGACGACGAGCCACACGGCGACAGAGACACGGCCAAGACCCCUACGGGAGGCAGCAGUGGGGAAUUUUGGACCAUGGGCGCAAGCCUGAUCCAGCAAUGCCGCGUGCAGGAAUACGGCCUUCGGGUUGUAAACUGCUUUUGUACGGAACGAAACGGUCCGGGUUAAUACCCUGGGCUAAUGACGGUACCGUAAGAAUAAGCACCGGCUAACUACGUGCCAGCCGCCGCGGUAA